rnacentral:rRNA from 1 species
UGGGGAAUUUUGGACAAUGGGGGAAACCCUGAUCCAGCCAUCCCGCGUGUGCGAUGAAGGCCUUCGGGUUGUAAAGCACUUUUGGCAGGAAAGAAACGUCGCGGGUUAAUACCCCGCGGAACUGACGGUACCUGCAGAAUAAGCACCGGCUAACUACGCGCCAGCAGCCGCGGUAAUACGUAGGGUGCAAGCGUUAAUCGGAAUUACUGGGCGUAAAGCGUGCGCAGGCGGUUCGGAAAGAAAGAUGUGAAAUCCCAGAGCUUAACUUUGGAACUGCAUUUUUAACUACCGGGCUAGAGUGUGUCAGAGGGAGGUGGAAUUCCGCGUGUAGCAGUGAAAUGCGUAGAUAUGCGGAGGAACACCGAUGGCGAAGGCAGCCUCCUGGGAUAACACUGACGCUCAUGCACGAAAGCGUGGGGAGCAAACAGGAUUAGAUACCCUGGUAGUCCACGCCCUAAACGAUGUCAACUAGCUGUUGGGGUCUUCGGACCUUGGUAGCGCAGCUAACGCGUGAAGUUGACCGCCUGGGGAGUACGGUCGCAAGAUUAAAACUCAAAGGAAUUGAC